rnacentral:rRNA from 1 species
GCCUUCAUGAAGCCGGAAUUGCUAGUAAUGGCAGGUCAGCAUACUGCCGUGAAUACGUUCCCGGGCCUUGUACACACCGCCCGUCACACCAUGAGAGUUGGGAAUACCCGAAGCCUGUGAGCUAACGUAAGAGGCAGCAGUCGAAGGUAGAAUCAAUGAUUGGGGUGAAGUCGUAACAAGGUAUC